UGGGCGCAGCCUGAUCCAGCCAUGCCGCGUGAGUGAUGAAGGCCCUAGGGUUGUAAAGCUCUUUCGCCAGGGACGAUAAUGACGGUACCUGGAUAAGAAGCCCCGGCUAACUUCGUGCCAGCAGCCGCGGUAAUUGUAAGGAGGCUAGCGUUUUACUGGGCGUAAAGCGCACGUAGGCGGAUCUUUAAGUCAGGGGUGAAAUCCCGAGGCUCAACCUCGGAACUGCCUUUGA
rnacentral:rRNA from 1 species